rnacentral:lncRNA from 1 species
CAUGGUUUUAGACUCCGUUGCUCAAAUACAUAAGUGACCAAUUUUAUUAGCUACUUCGAAGUCUCGACUUGGUUCAGUUCUUGACUUCAACCUUCUCCAAUUAAUUAAUGAAUUCUUGGAAAUUAAUGGUGCACCCGGGAUCAUAUUAGUCUCCUUCUCCAAGUCUUAACCACCUCACUUGUUCAAUAUAGUUUCGACAAUCCUUUUCUAUGCAAGUCAUAUUCUCGUACGCCCUGCUUCUACGACCGCGGAGUUGUAACUUUUGUGCAAUGAAAUCCCUGCCACAUCAUUCACUUCAAGCCGUCGUUUAACAUGGACACUCAAUUCUCGAUUGUAACGAUAUAACCUGAAUUUGGAAGGACUUGUUUUAUGGUUGUGAAUGAGAUUGACCGUGUUAAUCCUCCAUACUCCACAUGCAUCUAUAGACGCAGUCAUCCUAGCUUUGCAGCCUAUCUGAAUGGUAGCUUGCGGCUUUAAAGAACCACUUGUAGUACUACUUCUUCGACCUUCACGACUAC